GUGACACUGAUGAACAUGGAGGAGGUAGUCCCCUGUUAGGAGCAAAAUGGGAAUGUAUCCAUUGUCACAGUUUGCAUGGUCGGUUUUGUCAAUGUGUGAACUCUAAGUAAUGUUGACUGAUGAUUAUGAGUGACCUGUCUGAAGAUAUAGAAGCAAACACAUUGAAAUAUCAAUGUUCUAGCUCAGGAGAGGAAAAAGCUGCUGAGCAAGCAGCAGCUGACAAUGUCUGCAAUCAAGAUGGAGCAGAGAACGAAAAUGUUUUCUACGUCCUGAGAAGAGGCGGUAGCAAAACUGUGGGCAAGAGUGUACUGUAAAUGCGGGCAUAAGAGUUGCAGCUACAAGCCUUCCUGCUUACAUUCCUGAUGGCACUAGCAAACUGAAGAAGAAGAAGAAGAUUAUGGCAUCAACUGGCUAACCGUUAUAUUAUUAAAGGGGCAAUCAAAACCUUUCUGUUUGAAGACCACACAAUUCAGAAUCAGUAUGCCAAUCAAGCAAAAUCACCAUGAGUACUGAGGCAAUAAUCCCACCGAAGCACCAGGUUGAAAAUACUUAUUUGGUAAAACACUGUGUUCUGCUGCAUGGAGUCUUAACUGCCUGUUGCACAUCCUGCAGACCUUCUGAGUUAUGAAAUUUGAGAUAUGGGGAUGGAUGUUAUCAUGAAGCAGCAGCAUCCAUUGUUACAGUUGGUUUUUGACAGACGUACUGUCCCAUACACAUUCUUCAUCCUCUGAUGAAUGUCUCCUGGUGUUUGUCCUUCAGCAGCAAGAAAAUAACAACAUGCUGGUCCUGUUUGGGUGUAUUUGGUGACAAUGUCACCAUAGUUCAUGUUUCUGCAUUUACUGCUCGCACGUUGGAAAGACACAAAUGCCAUACUAAUCCCUUGCCUACAUGUCGGUGGUUAUAUAUCCACAUUGGAGUUGGACUACAAUGCAUAUCCGCUGUGGCAACACCCUCAAAUUGAUACUUUUCAACUGCCCCUUAUAAAUAGGAUCUCCUUCUACCUUGAUAUUUAAGCAAACUCUGAUGAACCAUGGUGUACAAUUUGAUGAAACUGACUUACAAAAGAAGCACGGCCAUCCCAUGACAUACCUUGGUGACAUCCAGCAGGACCCUCUUUAUACCUAGUGUUGACUAAUACCAUAAGCAAAGAAGAGGGACACCGAAGAUUUUCUGCUAUAUAUUCAGGUUGUGCAUCACCAUUUUUUCAAGAGUCUACCAUGUGACAAUGCUACCAGAGCUUCCUCAGCUUUGCAAGAGCAAGCAGAGAAAAGUGAAUACAUUUUUCUUUGUGUAAUUUCUUGUUUGGAAGUAUUUGUUGCAAACAGACACAGGGAAUAAAAUCAUAAUUACAUAUUA